CGCUGCUGCCCGGCCACCUAAGAAAAGGGGCAGCCAUGGAGAGAAUCGUUAGGCACAGAGCCUAUGAAGCAACUGCAAUAGCCCCACCUCUAUUCCACUUGUUACAGACACCCUCCCUGGAUAGCACUUCAGAAGAGUGACUGGCAGCCUGUGCUAAGUCAAGUGACAGCAGUACUCCGCUCUGCAGUUAUAGCCCUGCUGGUUUUCUGCACCUCUCGAUAUUGUAGUGGAAUGUGACCAUAAGUAUUCCCAAUUCUGUCCCAACAACCCCUCACCCUGAACUUAUCUUGAUGAUGCUGUGUGAGAAAACUGCAAGAGCAAAGCAACUGAAGUGGCCUGAUAUUAAUGGAAAAGACUUUCAUUAUGGAUAUUACAUACAGUAAAUGAAAGCAAAUAUUAUAUUGUUUCUUCUGAGUGAGGAGUGAUGGCGCCUGAGAGGUCCCUGUCCUAGGAAGGAGUCUGGGAGCAAUGAAAGGUGAGGAGGAGCCCAGGACAAGGAGGCAUCUAAUAAGAAUUACUGAAUGUAAAGGUGCUUAUAUGUGCCCAGGUCAGACAUUUGCUCCCAAGGGCACAACAGCCAGAGCUAAAGAAAUUGCACAGGUGAUGCAUACACAACUGUUGGACGUACUAUAAUUGCAUACACUAUUUAAUCUGUCUCCAUGCGGCCUGUAUUUGUGGGUGUAUGCAGGACAGUAGAUCCAGAGACAGACAGAGAGAUAAGAACUUUUUGUGUUGGAGAGGUGUGCUUGGGAUCAUUUUGUGUGUUACCUUUUGGCCAAGUCUGUGUUUUUUUUUUUUAUAUAUUUGCUGCAUUUCUUUCUAUCUGCUGCGAUGGAUUAUGAGACUGAAGUGCUGUUGGCCACAUAUCUAGCCUCCGAAACCGUCCAACCCCAACCUGCCCCUCAUCUUCGAAGGCAACGGAGAUCCUGUCCCUGAAUGCAAAGUACCCCGGCAGUGCCCAUGAUGCCCAUGUCAUUCGGCAAUCAGGGAUCUGGCAAAGAUUAAGAAUGAUGGAAGGCCAAGACAUGUGGCUAUUGGGAGAUUGAGGAUAUCCUUGCACCCCCUGGCCCAUGACUCCUUACAGCACACCCAAACCAGGGCCACAAGCCGCAUUUAAGUCCGCACAUACAGCCGCUAGGCAGCUGGUGGAGUGCACCAUUGGCAUCCUGAAAGGACACUUCCAUGUGCUUCACCGCACUGGUGGCGACCUCAUGUAUUUGCCGAAAAUGAUGAUGUAGCUGGAGAUCCCAAUGCCUUGAUUGGCCAAAGCCUACAGAGAAGGCAUGCUGGCAGAAAUAUUGUUUCUGCAAAAAAAAUGUGUUAAUGUUUCUUUGUUUAUUUGUUAGUAAAAAAAAGUAAAAGCCUAAAACAACAUAAAAAUAAACAAUU